GACGAACGCUGGCGGCGUGCCUAACACAUGCAAGUCGAACGCUGAGGACCUGAUUUUGCUCUUCGUUCAAGAGUUGCACACGUGAGAAACACGCGAAUGACCUCUGCCUUGCUUUGGGAUAUCUUCAUGAAACUCGAUCUCUUACCCCAUAUAACCUCGCUGUGUACACUGUGUGGUUUAUUUAAAAUUUCGCAAUUGUUCCGAUGCACUAUCGACUUAUCAUUCUUUUAGCUGGGAUAUGAGGUUACCGCUCAUCUAACCGACAAUCCGUCUGCGACCUGAAACGGUCAUCUUGCACCUUAGAUCUGACACACACUCCUAACUCCUACAGCAGGCAGCAAUAUUGAAUCUUCGGCAAUGGCCUCAACCCUGACCGACCCACGCCGCAUGACUGACUACGGUUUUCAGAUCGCUUUCCUCUGUUACAAAUCAAGAACGACUGUGAUAGUGAAAAAUUCACCCUGUGACUGCAUCUUACCAGACACGGACGGCUAACUACGUGCCAGCAUCCGCGGUAUAUACUUANGUCCCGAGCGUCGUCCGGAUUUAUAUGGCGUAAGACGAGCGCAGCGGUUUGAUAAGUCUGAAGUUAAGGCUGUGGCUCAACCAUAGUUCGCUUUGGAAACUGUCAUACUUGAGUGCAGAAGGGGAGAGUGGAAUUCCAUGUGUAGCGGUGAAAUGCGUAGAUAUAUGGAGGAACACCGGUGGCGAAAGCGGCUCUCUGGUCUGUAACUGACGCUGAGGCUCGAAAGCGUGGGGAGCGAACAGGAUUAGAUACCCUGGUAGUCCACGCCGUAAACGAUGAGUGCUAGGUGUUGGAUCCUUUCCGGGAUUCAGUGCCGCAGCUAACGCAUUAAGCACUCCGCCUGGGGAGUACGACCGCAAGGUUGAAACUCAAAGGAAUUGACGGGGGCCCGCACAAGCGGUGGAGCAUGUGGUUUAAUUCGAAGCAACGCGAAGAACCUUACCAGGUCUUGACAUCCCGAUGCUAUUUCUAGAGAUAGAAAGUUACUUCGGUACAUCGGUGACAGGUGGUGCAUGGUUGUCGUCAGCUCGUGUCGUGAGAUGUUGGGUUAAGUCCCGCAACGAGCGCAACCCCUAUUGUUAGUUGCCAUCAUUCAGUUGGGCACUCUAGCGAGACUGCCGGUAAUAAACCGGAGGAAGGUGGGGAUGACGUCAAAUCAUCAUGCCCCUUAUGACCUGGGCUACACACGUGCUACAAUGGUUGGUACAACGAGUUGCGAGUCGGUGACGGCAAGCUAAUCUCUUAAAGCCAAUCUCAGUUCGGAUUGUAGGCUGCAACUCGCCUACAUGAAGUCGGAAUCGCUAGUAAUCGCGGAUCAGCACGCUGCGGUGAAUACGUUCCCGGGCCU
rnacentral:rRNA from 1 species